UUGAAAAAAUAGAUGAAGUUACCAAUAAACACAGAUGAAAAGAACUACAAACUGCUGGAGUAACUUAUAACAACAAUAUUAGUUGGAACAUAUAUAAAUUGCUACCAAACUGCCCCUGGGUGUGUAGAUGAGUUGGUUGAAGGUGCAUACCCAAUGUGAGACCUCCUGACAAAAUGAUAAAGGUGUGGUGUUCAAUUCUUGUGGUUGACAUUCCUGUAUUACCUUGACUGCUCAUGCAGCUCGAUUUACUUCUCACACGUUGGGCCUGGAGCAGACUACUGUGGGUAGCUCAUGGUUAGCUGAAUGAGAGCCUAUUUGACAAAAUAAAUUGCGAUCAAACUGCUUCAUGGAAACAUGGAUACUUUUUAAAAAUCUGGAAACUAGGGUCGGAGGAUACCAGAUUCCAUGAGCUUUUCAAGCAUGGAUGGCGAAGCAAAGAAGCUAAGAGAUAUGGCUGAUAUGCUCACCAUGUAUGGGAGACCAUGAUUGCUUUUCACGUUUUAUCUGAAAAGAGCCAAGUCCAUUGGAGAUGGUCUAAGCGUGAGAUUGUAUUGAGUGUGGGGUAAAAGCUAACGUGAGUGUAGGAUCAGAGUCUAGUCCAUCUUUAUAAUUAUACAAUAGUUGAUUUUGUCUUUCUUUUCCAUGUUUCACUAAAGAGGUAUG